rnacentral:rRNA from 1 species
CAACCCUACGGGAGGCAGCAGUGGGGAAUAUUGGACAAUGGGGGGAACCCUGAUCCAGCGACGCCGCGUGAGUGAAGAAGUAUUUCGGUAUGUAAAGCUCUAUCAGCAGGGAAGAAAGAAAUGACGGUACCUGACUAAGAAGCCCCGGCUAACUACGUGCCAGCAGCCGCGGUAAUACGUAGGGGGCAAGCGUUAUCCGGAUUUACUGGGUGUAAAGGGAGCGUAGACGGUUACGCAAGUCUAGAGUGAAAGGCGGGAGCCCAACCCCCGGACUGCUUUGGAAACUGUAUAACUGGAGUGCAGGA